GAGCACUUCCGAAGUUCCCGAGGCAAAUCUACCGGACGUGUCAAAUGUUGCGAAAUCUCUCUGCGAUCUGACCAAAACCUGCACCAUACUUGGUAACAAGCUGGGGGACCAUGAAAGUGACUUCCGGGCCAAACAGCGAAUCUGCCAGCUUGCCGAUCAGGCCUCACUGCUGCCAGACGAAACCAAGUGCGAAGAGCCAGACCUUGAGCUGAGUUUGGACGACGUUACAUCCACUAACGAUGGCGAAGAUCUGGCGGAAACCUUGUGUGACCUGAGCACCAGCU